UACGUAGGGCGCAAGCGUUGUCCGGAAUUAUUGGGCGUAAAGAGCUUGUAGGCGGUUUGUCGCGUCUGCCGUGAAAUUUCGAGGCUCAACCUCGAACUUGCGGUGGGUACGGGCAGACUAGAGUGUGGUAGGGGAGACUGGAAUUCCUGGUGUAGCGGUGAAAUGCGCAGAUAUCAGGAGGAACACCGAUGGCGAAGGCAGGUCUCUGGGCCACUACUGACGCUGAGAAGCGAAAGCAUGGGGAGCGAACAGG
rnacentral:rRNA from 1 species